GUGCAGGAGGUAUAGGACAUCCCUGUAGAUCAUCUCCCACCAGCAAUCAUUCCAUUGCUAACAAUACAGAAAUUCCAAACGGAUCACCAUCGUCCCACAGUGGUCAUCCUCCUGACGAUGAUGGAAUUGAGAAUGGAGAUACUGGUGUCAGCUAAAGCAGCAUUAUAUAAAAAAUGGUAUUUCCUGUUCCUGAGCUGCCUCUACAGUGUGGAACUUUAUUUUGCACUUUGAGCCAUCUUUAUUACCCACCACCUGAGGGGUUUGCAAGGAGUACAGGCUAAUUCUGUAUUACCCUCAGUGAGGAGUUUGUACAAAACUGACACUGUUUUUAAAUAUUUUUGUACGUUGGUGUCUGUUUAAAUUUUUACCUAAAUUAUGGAAAACUAUAUUAAUUACUCCUUAGCUUAUCACAAUGUUGGUGAUGUGGAAAGCUGGUCUAACUAAUGUCGGCGGAUUGUCUCUGCUUUCGAUUCAAGCAACAUAGGGCACACUCUCCUGGCGGGGGUGCUGAAGUUUAAU